UACGGGGGGAGCAAGCGUUGUUCGGAUUUACUGGGCGUAAAGCGCGCGCAGGCGGCGGUGCUGGCCCGGCGUGAAAGCCCCCGGCUCAACCCGGGGGAGAGUCGUCGGGGACCGCACCGCUUGAGGGCGGUAGGGGCUGGUGGAAUGCCUGGUGUAGUGGUGAAAUGCGUAGAGAUCAGGCAGAACACCUGGGGCGAAGG
rnacentral:rRNA from 1 species